AGUGAACGCUGGCGGUAGGCCUAACACAUGCAAGUCGAACGGCAGCACAGUAAGAGCUUGCUCUUACGGGUGGCGAGUGGCGGACGGGUGAGGAAUACAUCGGAAUCUACUUUUUCGUGGGGGAUAACGUAGGGAAACUUACGCUAAUACCGCAUACGACCUACGGGUGAAAGUAGGGGAUCUUCGGACCUUGCGCGAUUGUAUGAGCCGAUGUCGGAUUAGCUAGUUGGCGGGGUAAAGGCCCACCAAGGCGACGAUCCGUAGCUGGUCUGAGAGGAUGAUCAGCCACACUGGAACUGAGACACGGUCCAGACUCCUACGGGAGGCAGCAGUGGGGAAUAUUGGACAAUGGGCGCAAGCCUGAUCCAGCCAUACCGCGUGGGUGAAGAAGGCCUUCGGGUUGUAAAGCCCUUUUGUUGGGAAAGAAAAGCAGCAGGUUAAUACCCCGCUGUUCUGACGGUACCCAAAGAAUAAGCACCGGCUAACUUCGUG
rnacentral:rRNA from 1 species